AGAGCGAACGCUGGCGGCGUGCUUAACACAUGCAAGUCGAACGCGCAGCAUUCUGUAGCAAUACAGGGUGUGGGCGCGUGGCGAACGGGUGCGUAACACGUGGAUAACCUUCCUUCAGGUGGGGAAUAACCCAGUGAAAAUUGGGCUAAUACCGCAUAACAAAACGAUGAGACAUCUUGUUGUUUUCAAAGGCGCAAGUCGCCAGAAGAGGGAUCCGCGGCCGAUUAGCUUGUUGGCGGGGUAAUGGCCCACCAAGGCAAUGAUCGGGUA
rnacentral:rRNA from 1 species